CUAUGACUGUGGACAAUGCUGGCCUGGGAUAAGGGGAAGGCCGCUGGGGCAUCUGCCAUUCACCAAGGAAAUAGCCCACCCUCUGCAGCCCUAUGACUAUCUCACCCAGCAGGUUCUCUGGCCAGCCCCGCCCCCAGGAGGCAGGCCCCAGGUGCUGGCCCCAUGGCUUUUGGUCUGAGUCUCAGUCACCGUGGUUUGUCUUUGGUAGAGGAACCCAGCUCACUGUCCUAGGUCAACCCAAGGCUGCCCCAUCAGUCACCCUAUUUCCACCUUCCUCUGAAGAGCUCCAGACCAACAAGGCCACAUUAGUGUGUCUGAUAAAUGACUUCUACCCAGACACCAUGACUGUGGUCUGGAAGGCAGAUGGCACCCUUAUUACCCAGGGUGUGGAGACCACCCAGCCCUCCAAACAGAGCAAUAACAAGUACAAGGCCAGCAGUUACCUGACCCUGAUGCCCAACCAGUGGAGAUCUCAAAAAAGAUACAGUUGCCAGGUCACACAUGAAGGGAGCAUCGUGGAGAAGAGUGUGUCUGCUGCAGAAUGUUCUUAGGUCCA